CGAAAUUAAACAUCAAACAUCCACACUUCAGUUAUAUAUAUAUAUACAUAUAAAAAAAGAACAAUGAUUUAUAAUGUCUUGAAUGUGUGACGCUGUCAACAUCCGAGUCCUUUCCCACUAAAGAAAGCUGGAGAAAAUGGUAGAUUAGGAUAAAAAGUUUCAGAUAAAAAAAUUAAUAGCAGGUAUCGAGCCAUCACCUUUGGUAUAUCCCAAACUGUUUUCCUCCCACUUAGAGCCUCUAUCUUGGGGACAUGAGUCUCCUUAGCUUUCAAAAAUCUCAGUUGUUCGCCUACAUUUUUCCCUUCCUCUAAACCAGCAUGCGCGGCAAUCAAUUUACAGUGUCUAAUUCCUUCUUCAUCCUCUAUGCACACAUCAUCCUGGAAAAGAAAAUGUUAAGAGAUUAAUAUAAAAUUAUUCUUGAGACUUCACCUAAUAGCUUAAAUUUUUUAAUUGAUAUCUUAAGUUUUUGAGUUGAUAGCUUAAGUUUUGAGGUUGAGAUAAUUAUUUGAUAUGAUUUUAAAGUUUUCAUAACCAAACGCUUAUGAAUUCAAAUAUCACAUGGUAUUAAUAAUCAAAUGAUUAUGAGUUCAAAUCUCACCAUCUUUUUCUAACAAAUAAAAUUAAUCACCGGGUAAUAAUAUAAAACCAUUAUCGGGGCUUCACUUGAUAGCUUAUGCUGUUGGGUUGGGUUUUUUGACAGAAAAUUGCACAUUAUGAAACCCACCAAGCUUCAUCCAUUGUCCCUACUGAUCACAUCAAACUACAAAGUAUGGAACUCGCGUUAUGUAAUAUACUCGCGUUAUGUAAAAUCAUCAUUGAUCAAAGUUCUAAACGAUAAAGGUGGCAAUGAAAUAAACUUCACCUCUUCAUGGACCCAAACCGUAUCAGCUAGAAACUUCUUGUGAUCAUCAGGAACUGCCUUCAAUAAGUCUGUCUCGAUGCAAAAAUUUACACCAAUAAAUCACACUAUUAAUUGUAUUGAAUUCAGAACCAUCUCAAGUGUAAAAAAUGCAAGAAUCUAAAGAUUCCAAUCCUCCAUUAAUGAUUAUACUAAUCCAAAAUAUAUUAUUUUUACCCUCUUACAUUAAAAAACUAAGAAUCAAACAACUCAAACACAAUCUACUCAGUUCAAAACUGAUAGACAACAAUAGCCUAUUUCAUAUUUAACAACUAAAACACCAAACAACAGCGAUACAUUUCCAAACAAACAUGGAGACGUAAUUAAGCUAUUGAUAAUUAAAACUUCAAUCAAUGAAAGACUAAAAGAAAACAAGACAUACCAGAAGAUCCAUGAGGGACACCAUAGGAAGCGAAAGUGGGACCAGCAUCAUAAAUAGAGCCCUUACAUUCAGUCCCUUUAAUGGUAUUGAAUCCCACCUUAAUAUGACCAGCCCACCUUCUCCCUUCCAAAUGCAUAUUCUCAUACCCGUCUCCUUUAUACCACCCUUCCCUGUCCUCACUCUCUUCAUACUCCUCCCAUCCUUCCUUAAAUGACACCCCAUUUUGCGGUUCAGGCAGGACACCAACAAAAGCAGCAAAAGCAAAGUCAUGAUUUCCCGAAAGAAACACAUGCUUUUGAUUUGGAUACCUUGAAGGUAAGUCUAUCAAGAAAUCUAGGACUUUCUUGGUAUCUGGGCCUCUGUCACAGUAAUCGCCUAAGAAGAUAAUUGUUGCAGCGUUAAAGUGUUGGGGGUCGAAUUGGGUUUCGAGAUUUGACCAAAGAUUUUGAAGCUUUGUGAUGUGGCCAUGGAUGUCGCCUAUGCAGAUUACUAAUCUGGGUUUUGCGACCGUGCUGUUGUUGCUUGGCUCUGCCUCUGUCAUUUUGGGUUCCGUGGUGGUUCUGUUCUGUCCUUCGAUUGAUAAAGAGAAUGCUUUUGGGUACAUCUAUUAGUAUUGGUCUGGUUUAGUGCUUGAUUUUUUUAUAACUAGAGCUUGAAAGAGAAGUUCUUCUUGCCUUCUUGGCUGGCUGAUAACGACUCUUUCUGUUGCCAGUUGUGUCGUAGGGAUAGGAUCCCCUCUUCUCAAUAGGUAAGCAUCAACCAUCAUAUAUUGGUAUUGGUUGAUUAUGCUUUUUCAUUUUGUUAUCAUUUAUUUUAUAUAAAUUUAUCUCAUUUUGAUUAUACGGAUUAUAAAUUUUACAGUUAAUUCAGGUAAAUUUAAAUUAUUUUAUUAUUUUAUUUUUUUUAAUUUUAUUAUUUAACAAUAAUUUUAUUAAGAAUUAAAUUUCAUAAUUUAUUUUGAUUUAUUUUAUAUGAUAUUUCAUGAUCUCGCAAUAUUAAUUUUACAAUUGCUUUUAAUUUAAUUUUUAUAUAUUAUUUUCCUACUCUAUAUGCUCAUCUCGCUUAUCAUUUGGUUUUAAUAAUUUUUACAUCAUGUUUGAUUUUAAUACUAGUCCCUAUUCUUGAGUUGAUUUAAAUACUUUUCAAACUAUAUCCCCACUCACGUGGUUGGCUCGAUAUACACAUGAUCAAUAGCCCUCAUGGGUUAUAAACAUCUGAUUAGUAGUCCCUACUUAUAUAACCAGUUCAAUAAACAUCUAAUUAGUUGCCUCCACUCAUGUGACCGGCUCAUAAACAUUAUGUGACAAGGUCCAUCAUUGGGAAUGAAUACAAUUUAUGCAUAAUUAUUUUUGUUAUUGCUAUCAAUAUAUGGUUACCGUCAUUGCGAUUAAUUUAUAUUCACAUUAUUGUCAUUGCAUUCAGAUCUCAAUUUAUAUACUCGGUAUCAUUGUUGUGGUCAUUUUCUAAGAAUAUUGAGAGCAAACAACGUGAAUGAUAUGUAUGAUAACAAAUCUAAAAUUUGUUUCCCAAACAACAUCUUAUCAUAAUCAUAACAAUUUUUAAUUAAAAAAACAAUAUUUUGAUAACUUAGAUAUGAAUGAAUUUGAAAUAUUAAAAAAAUACACUGCUCACAUUUUAUCAUGGGAGACUUUCUUGGCAAUGUUAGUAAACCUGACCCAACGGUUUAACCUAGGAAUCCCUAACCAAACCUCUUAUCUUAUCUGACUUUAAAAUCAAAUCAUAUUGAAGUUGCUUUGAAAUGACCUUUUCAAUUUGGCAUUGUUUGAACUUAAAAAAAAAAUAUUAAGACAACGACAUUUUGGAUCGAUCCGAGUCAACUUGAGUUAACCCGCCAAACCAUAAUUUAGAUCCUAAACCUUGUUGGGUUUAAUAAAUUUAUUUUCUAGAUUAUUUUUUUAUUUAAUAAAAUAAUAAUAAAAACAGAUAUGCAUAGAAAAGCAAUAAGAAAAAUAAGAAAAAAAAAUCAUAAAAGAUUAUACAAAAAGAGUGCUUUCAAAUCUUAUAAAAACACUAUCAUGAUAUAAUUCAAGAACUAAGUAAAUAAUUAAAUGGCAUUUAAUAAACAACAUCCCUAAUAUAUUUUUGAUCAAUUAAUUUUAAUGAAAUUUAAUUAAAAUAGUAGGAAAAAAGUUCUUAAAAAAUCCAUGAAGGGCUUAACAAAAAGAGUUUAGGUGCCUACACCCGGGGCAAACAUGGUAGGCCCGUAACAAAGAAGGCAAGAUGCUCCUGAGCCUACAAGCCCAGACUCACAUGCCUGACCAUUCUUUUUUUUUUUUAACAUAUCGUUCACUCCUUUAAAAAAAAUCGAACAAAACGUCAUUUACAGUGGUAGAUGACAUGUUGUUUGCCAGUGCAAUUUUCAAUCACAUGAGGUGACUGGAAGGUUGACUUCACCUUCUUUAACCCAAAAUACCCACUUCCAUCCCUUUUUCUCAUUGUUAAACACCUAAUACAUACUCCAUAAACCUUGACAAACCCAUUCUUAACUUUAAACCAACCUUUAAUGGGUCAAAAAACUAAAAAAUCACCUCAAAUUCAAAAAUCUCCCGAGUCUCGAUCUAUGUUUUCCCAGCAUAAAGGGUUAAAAUCACUCCAAUAAAACUCUUUUCAUCAAAUGAAAUUCAUUGAAAUCAAGAUCAACUUUUUUAUAUAUUUUUUUAUAAAAGGUUUAACAAAAAAAGUCUAGACAACUAAGCUUUGGGAAAAAUACGUCUAGCCCAUAACAAAGAAGGCAAGACACGCGUGGGCCUACAAGGCAAGACCCAUGUGCUUGCCCAUUCUUUUUUAAUGCAUCCUCCAUCCCUUUAAAAAACAAAUAAAAUGACAUGCCAUUUGCAAUGAAAGACAUGUUGUUUACUAAUACAAGUUUUGAUCACUCGAGAUGACUGAAAAAUUGAGCUCUGCCUCAUUUGACUUAAAAAAACCACUUUUAACCAUUUUACCACUUUUAACCAUUUUUUCACCUAAAACCCCCAAAUAUAUAAUCUAUAAACCUCAAUAAAUCCAUAUCUAACUUCAAACGAACCGUUAACCUGUCAAAGAACUGGAAAAUCACCUUGCAUUUGAAAAAACUUGAGCUCUUAUCUAUGUUUUUCCAGCAAGAUAAAUAAUAAAAAACACUUUAAUGGAGCUCCUCUAAUUAAAUGAAAUUCACGAAAAUUGGUUUUUUUUUUUGUUAAAUCAUGGCCAACCAAUCAAUAUCUCUCUUAUUCAUUGUUUUUCAAUAAUAUUCUUUUGAAACGCGAUUAAAAUGAUGUUUUAGAUAAAAAAAAAUUCUAAAACUAAAUGUACCAAAAUAUAAAAAGCAAUUGGGGACUAAUUUUAUAAAUUCACACCACAUUUACAAUAAAAAAAAAUUAAAAAGAGGUUUUUAAUUUUAUUGUCAAUUUUGAUACUUAAAGUUUCAAUUUUUUAACAAUAAAAUUGAAUUCUAUUGUGUCAAAUCAAGCAUCAACCUAAUGCUGAAAUAUUUUUUUAAGGGCAUGAGAACCUUAUAAGAAGUUAAUAAAAAAGAUUAUUAGCCUUAAAACCUAUUAAACACACUAUUUAAAGAUAAAAUUAAGAGAAAAGUUAGCAAUCAAAUUAGAAAAUUCUUCAAAGAUGAAAAAGAGAAACAUGGUUGAAAUUUUCAUAAGCCCAGUUUGUUUGUUUUUUCCUUUAGUAAUUCAAUAUUGGUCUGUAUUUUUUUAAAAAAAAUUUAAAGGUUAUUUUUAUUCUUAUUAAAAAUGAUUUUUUUUAAAAGUGUUUUUCUAUGGUUUUUCAAUUUUUUUAUGAUUUUAAUAUAAAAUUUCAAAAUCAUAAGAAAAAACAUAGGAAAAACAUCAAUUUAAUAUCUUUUUAGUAAAAAAACAAAUACUUUUAAAUAAAAUUUUUAAUCAUGUUAUCAAACAAAUACUAAUGUUAGAAUAUUAGUUCGGUCACUAAGUCAUUGAACUACGUAUAACUCAACUGAUUAGGUUCUAAGUUUAUUUUUUAAAGGCCACCAGUUCAAGUUCUACAAAUUUCAGAGUCACUGGAAGUUUAUUGCUAAAUAUUUUAUUUUUUUUUCUUUUUAACACUUAUUUUUCAUAUAUAUCAAACACCCAAUAAUUAUUUUUAAAUAUUUUUUAUUUACAUAAACAAACAAAGAAUAUUUUUAAUAUUUUUUUUUACAUUCAAAAGUCUUUUGAUCUAACCCGUAAGACAAUGCCGGCUUAUAAACUAGUAUAAUAGAGACUCAAGAAAUCAACUAACUUGAAAAACAACUUUGCUAAAAUAAGGAAAGGAGACGUACACCAACCCUUCAAUCUCUCCUUUUUCUUGUUUUCUUUUUAUAAUUGGCCUUCUUAAAGAAAUAUAUAUUUAAUGAAAAACUUUAUAUAUGUCAAUGCAUGGCCAUUUUUGGAUCAUGAAGGGACAUACUUGAUAGAACAAUAGACAUACAAAUAAAUAAAUAAUAAUAAAAAAGGGUUCCUUUUUAUUUUUUUAAUUUUAAAGCUUCUUGGGUGAAGGAAACGCUUUCUUGCAAUAAUUAAAAUGCAUUGAGAUAAGCAUUGACAGCAUCUAAUUCAACAAAAAAAUAAUAAACAGCACUGUUGUUGUUGUUGAAGAAGAGGCCAACGAAAGGAUAACUAUGGAGGUGUAUAAAACAUAUUUUCAGUUUUUUCAUGUACGAGAAUGAUAUCAUAAUCUAUGGAGAUGAAUGAUACGGCACCAACAUGCAAUAAUAUUCCUCUUCCGCUCGUAAGAGAGCGACAGCCAUACAGAGGCAUCACAUGAAAACAACUAAGCAUGUUUGCUCUGUAGCACGGCGAAAAUGAACGACCUGCUUUCAUCAAAUUCAUCAACUCAUCAUUUACUUGUCAUCUUCCUGGCCAGCUAUUGCUAUGAUGAUUUUGAAUCAACCAUUGCGGGCUAAAUAAAUUCAAAGAAAAUCACCUUUAGAUUUUUUUUUUUAAUUUGUAUGACAAAGAAAUCAAGUCUAUUUUAUAUUAUUUCUAGAAAGAAGUUUGAUUCUUGCACCGUCUUCGGCUGAUUUUUCUCCUAUGCCUAGUAGGCCUGGCACAUGGGAUAGUGACGGAUAUAAGAAUCGAAUCUAUUUGAUGUUUCUUACAGUCAUUAAGAAAGCCAUUAACUUCUGCCUUCUUUCUAAAUUCAUCCGAUAUCAUCUUUCACACCAUCAGCCAUGGCUCAAGAGUCCACCAGUCUUGCAACAAAGAGGUAGCUAUAUGCUCUUUCAUCUUCUUCUUUUUUUCCUUGAAGAGUUGUUAAGAGAAUCAUUACGUUCUUAAAGUAUUUCUGUCUCAGGUAUGCAGUUGUGACAGGAGCAAACAAGGGGAUUGGAUAUGAAAUAUGUAGGCAGUUGGCUUCUAAUGGGAUUUUGGUGGUGUUGACAGCCAGAGAUGAAAAAAGGGGUCUUGAAGCUGUUCAAAAGCUGAAAGAUUCUGGCAUCUCUGAUGACCUUGUGAUUUACCAUCAACUUGAUGUGGUUGACCCUGAUAGCAUUGUUUCCCUUGCUGAAUUUGUGAAAAAUAAUUUUGGAAAACUUGACAUCUUGGUAUGAAGUAAUGAAUUUCUUGGGCUAAUCCUUUUAUUUAUUUAUUUAUGUUUAUCUGAUAGUUUCUUGAAAAUCUUGUAACCUUGUGCAGGUGAACAAUGCUGGGAUUGGUGGAGUUGCACUAGAGGCAGAUGCUUUUCAAAGAGCCUUUGAACAAGCUGGUGAAUUUGUAAGUCUUCAUAUUGUAAUGACUAAUCACUCGGAAGAUCAUUGCCUGUUCUAUGUAUAUUUACGUAACCCUUUGAUAGACCAGGAAUCAGGCAUUGGGACUAAUUAUUGCUUGUAAACAUCAUUUAACGGAUAUUGAGGUUAUUUUGAGUAGUAAAUUAAGUAGAUUUUCAUUUGUUUCCGUGGAUAUGGUCUAUGAAGUGUUGGAGAGGGUCUAAAAUUCUUUUGUUCAAAUGCAGCCAUAUGGGGAGCAAGUGUGGGCUGAAAUUGGAACUCAAAAUUAUGAGAUGGCAGAGCAAUGUGUGAAAACAAACUACUAUGGUGCAAGAGGAAUGGCUGAAGCACUUGCGCCCCUCCUACAGUUGUCUGAUUCACCAAGAAUUGUAAAUGUCUCUUCAAUGCUGGGGCUUUUAAAGGUACACGACUGUCUUUCAAGAACGGAGUCUUGGUAUUUUGGUAGUAGUUGUCUUAUCUUGAAAUUUGGCCGAGUUAUUUCUCCUCUUCAAGGAAAUCCAAAUUUUACUUCAGACUGGUUGAUGUGCAGUAACAUUUACAUGCUUUCUUAUUCUGAAUUAUCGUACUUUCUUUAUGGUAAUGUCCAAGAAUACAACUCCUAGAAAACAUGAUUUUUCCCAUAAUCCCUGUUUGUCAUAUUCUCCCCUGCUUGGUACUUUCAUGUACAAAUUGUUCCGCAAAUGCAAAUUCGCUUCCUGUGUUAGCUCAUAACAAUUAGCGUUACAGGAAUAGUCUUGUAUUUAUUAUCCUCUGAAUUUGUGUUUCAUUCAGCUCAGACUAGUACUUGCAGCAUUUCUAUAAGCAGUCUUACCAAAGUGUUUUUUUCCUGUUAUGUGGCUUAGAACAUACCCAAUGAAUGGGCCAAAGGAUUGUUAAAUGAUGUUGAAAAUCUCAAUGAAGAUAGACUAGACGAGGUUGUGAACGAGUUUCUUAAAGAUUUUAAAGAAGAUUUGUUGGGAUCCAAAGGCUGGCCAACUUAUCUGUCUGCCUAUAUUGUUGCUAAAGCUGCCAUGAGUGCCUAUACAAGGAUUCUGGCCAAGAAGUAUCCAAGCUUCCGCGUCAAUUGUCUCUGCCCUGGCUAUUGCAAAACUGACAUCACUACCAACACCGGCCCCUUCACCGCUGCCGAAGGAGCCGAAAAUGCUGUGAGAUUGGCAUUGCUGCCUGAUGGUGGGCCUUCUGGUUGUUUCUUUUAUCAGAAACAAAUGCUACCGUGCUUUUGAAUGAAAAUCAAACAUGAUAAUCAUGAUGUCGUAAACGGCUACAAGGUUUUGAAAAUUUUCUCGUCGAUGUAUUCUCAUCCAGACAGGUUAAACUGAAAGAUAUUGUCUAUGUUUAAAGAAUGUCUUAGAAAGCUGCAGAAGACCAGGAAGCUUUGCUGUUACUUGUUCAGGGGAUUUCGUCAAUAAAGAUCUUUAAUUGAAAACCAAGAUUUUAGGAAUAAAAUUUCUGAUCACAUUUGAUUUGUUGUUAUGCAAUUUUUAAAUUUUGAAUAGUCUUGGUUUCCAAGUAAAACUCUAUCUUUAUUUAAGAGUAUUCUAAAAUCAAUAAUACUAUCUUCUUCUAAUUCUUCUAAACGUCUCCUACUGCAACUAGAGAAUUAAAACCAACAAAUUGAUAUCAGAGUCAUAGAUUUUCUUGAGGGACUUGUGAGUUGAGAGAAACAACCAAAUCCAACCACAAACACAACAAAAAAAAAAACACAAAAAUGGAUUCUAAAACAAUCAUCUCACACGGUUCACCAAUGGUGAAAACUAUGAAACUUGAGCCAUCAGAAUGACAAUUCAUUUGGAGGCGUUAGAUAUCUGGGAAGCUGUGGAAGAAAAUUAUGUUGUUCUUUUUUGCCCGCAAAUCCAACAGUAGCCCAACUAAAGAUUCACAAGGAAAAGAAGACAAGAAAAUCCAAGGCUAAAGCUUGCUUAUAUGCUGCAGUGUCAAAUACAAUAUUUACAAGAAUCAUGAAUUUCGAAUUUGCAAAAGGUAUUUGGGACUAUCUUAAAAAGAAAUAUCAAGGCAAUGAAAGAACUAAAAAUAUGCAGGUUCUUAACUUAAUCAGAGAAUUUGAAAUGCAGAAGAUGAAGGAAACCAAAAAUAUCAAAGAUUGUGCUGACAGAUUGCUAAGCAUAAUAAACAAAAUAAGAUUACUUGGAAAAGAAUUUUCUGAUGACAGAAUUGUGCAGAAAAUACUGGUCACUAUGCCUGAAAAAUAUGAGUCUAAGAUUUCUUCAUUAGAGUCAAAAGACAUAACCAAUAUUUCUCUUAGAGAAUUUGUAAAUGCACUGCGUGCACAAUAGCAGAGAAGAUCAAUGAGACUUGAAGAAUCAAUGCAGGGAGCUUUUCAAGCAAGAGCUCAAUACUAAGGAGGAGGCAAAGACAAGAGAUUCAACAAGAAGAAAAAGGUUCAAACUUACAAAAACAAGGUGGAAAAAUUUCCACCAUGUACCUACUAUAAAAAAACAAAUCAUCAGCCGAUCAAGUGUUGGUGGAGACCAAACAUCAAGUGCAGAAAAUGUGGACAGAUUGGACAUGUUGAAAGAAUCUACAGGACACAACAACAUGAAGAAAAGGCGAAUCCUGUUGCUUAACAACCUGAAGAGGAGCAGCUGUUUGUUGUGUCAUGUUUUUCAACAAGCAACAGCUCGACAGAUUCCUGGUUGAUUGAUAGUGGUUGCACAAAUCACAUGACAAACAAUCAGGAUUUGUUCAAGGAACUUGACAUAACUGUUAUUUCCAAAGUUAAAAUUGAAAAUGGUGAUUAUAUUGAUGUCAAAGGCAAAAGAAUUGUUGUUUUAAACAGCCUGUCAGGUUUGAAGUAUAAGUAUAUUUCAGAUAUAUUAUAUAUGUCUGACAUUGAUCAAAACUUGCUUAGUGUUGUACAACUUAUGGAAAAAUGUUUCAAAAUAAUAUUUAAAGAUCAAUGGUGUUUGAUCAAAGACAAUUUGGACAACAACGUGUUCAGAGUAAAAAUGAAAGCAAAAGGACUUAUGACUGAUGUAUAUGCAAAAACAUACUCUUGUAAAAGGAGUUCCACAAUUGGAGAACAGAUCAGCUAACUGCGCAGCAUGUCAGCAUGUCAAUAUAGAAAGUAGGUCAAACUAAAAAAAUCUAUAAAAUAAAAACUGAGAAUCACCUUGUAAUGGGAUGUAGACAAUUAGAUCAACAUCAUAUGAUCUCUAAUAAUAAUUUUUAAACAAUAUACGAUCAAUUUACUAUUUAAUUAAGCUAACAUAAACGUAAUGCUUAUCGCCUAUUGGUCUCAUUCAUAUGCAGAGAUCUGCUCAAACCCAAGUCGCUAUGUAAAGGAUUAAACAUUCUUUAGCCCAGCAAGGCUCGAAUUAUGGCAGCUUCACCAACGCGAAUCCAUCCGAACUCAGUAUGGACACCUGAAAUUAGGAACUUCUCCUUCAGUGAUAUGGAUUACGUUAAAAGAAUAUACAAAUCAGGAAAUCCGUUUCCUUGAAGAAUCCGGAUUAGAUCUGCACUAUAAAUACAGGAUACCUGAGGCGAUUUAUCUCACAAACCCAUUCAAGCAAACCUUAGAAUUCUCUCUCAGUGCUCUCUCUUUACGCACCAGCUUCCUUGCAGCCCAUAUUCAUUGUCUUCCAAGCGAUCAUGGCUAAUUUCAGGAAAACAAUACUGGUGGUUUCUUUCUUGACGACGGCUCUUUGCGGAGUCUCCAUGGCUACCGUUUACCAAGUCGGUGACUCUGCUGGUUGGACAAGCAUGGGUCAAGUUGAUUACCAAGAUUGGGCUGCCAGCAAGAAUUUUCACGGUGGUGAUACUCUUGUCUUCAACUACGACAACCAAUUCCACAACGUGAAGCAAGUGACGCAUCAGGGUUUCGAGUCAUGCAAUGCAACGUCACCACUAGCUACUUAUACCAACGGCUCCGAUACAGUCACUCUUGGAAAGCAGCUUGGCCACUUCUACUUCAUAUGUGGUUACCCUGGUCAUUGCCAAGCAGGACAAAAGAUUGACAUCCUGGUCGUCCCUGCAACUUCAAAUUUGAGUCCUGCUGCGUCACCUAGCAGCGCUUCAUCUCUUUAUUUUAGUAAUCUGUCUUGGACUCUAGGUGUGCUAGGAUUCUGUCUCUUGGGAUUUGCUUAUUAGGAAGGUUUUCAAGUUGCCUGUCUUUUGCCAACCUCGAGGGGUUUUUUCGGUUUCAUUGAUGCAGUGCUUACUUUCUUUUUUCUUAUUUUAAUUAGCAAAGAGAUGAUUAAUGACAGAUUAAAAUUGUUUUCUGUCUAACUUUCUUUACAUGAAUACUUUGAAUAAAAAUACUAUUCGUCCAUUAUAAUUGCUGCCGCUUAUUGCACUUUGUAAUUAACCAUGUUUUUUUUUCCCGAUCUGAUAAAGCAAGGAGUAGCAAUUAAAAUUAAAAGAAAAAAAAACAAAGGAGGCUCAGUGUUUUACCACGUACCAAGAAUAAUUAUACAUCGCCAUGCUACAGUGGUCUAAAUACAUUUUUAGAUUAUUAAUAAGACAUUAGUUUCUUUGCUAUUAUAACAGCUAAAUUGUCAUCACAAUACAAAGCUACUAGAUUAAUAAUGUUAAGAAUCACAUCUAAUUUAACGAUGAACUUAUUAAUCCAAACGACGUAUUUGUUGCCUUAGACAUAGAAAUGUAUUUAGUUUUAGUUAUAAAAUCUAUUAUGAUCUUUUAUUUGAAACCCUUAUAACUUAUAAUACCAUCAUUCAUAGUAAAAUAUAUCAAAACUGAGAUUUGUUAGUGUCAAUAUCUGAUUGAAAACUAAAAUCUAAAUAAUCAUGAACUACAAAAUCAUCUCUUACAUGGACAAGAAACACACUCAUAGUUACUUAAUAAUGUUUUUAACUAUCAAUCUAUGACCUUUAAAUGGAUUAAAUUGAUAUAUAAUCAUUAUGCUUAAAGCAUAAGAUAAUUUGAUCUUGUACAUAAUGAUAUAUACAUGAUAGAUCCUAUAACCAAAGCAUAUGAAUUUCUUUCCCUCCUAUCUCUCAAGAUUUGUGUCUUAAGGCUCAUGUCUUUAAAUAAAUGUAUCCAUAUGUAUUAGAUUGGUAUAUACUCAUGCUAGAUAUGAAGUUCUUCAGGAUUAACAAAUGAACAAGUUAUUAAAUUUUAGGAGUACAUAAUCAAGUUUAUGAAUUUUACGAGGUAACUUAAAUUAUCUUAGCUCAUAGAUUUUGCGUCACACUUAUAAUAUAUUUUAGCUAUACAAUAUUAUAUACAUGAUCAUCUCUUACAUGGACAAGAAACACAAGGGCUGGGGUUGAUGGGUGUGUGUGUCAUCAAAUCCUUAUAUCAAGCCUCUGAAAAAGAGGUGCUGCUAGUCGCUAGUCAGGAGAAUAUGAAGCCAGCCUCAUGCAGCUACUGAACGAACUAAAAAUGAUUCACUGUAAUCUAAAAAUGACAAGAGGAGCAAACUUAACAUAUAACAAUCUGGAUGUUUGUAUUAAUAGUUGAAUGAAUCCAUCUCUGUUAGUACUGAGGUAGUUUUACGCGAACAAGCAAGACAGUCCGAAGUGUUCUUAGAUGUUUCACACCCUGUUUCUGUUUCUAUCAGCAUAAGAUUAAGAAAUCGUCAAUGAUCGCAAUGGAGAUUUAUAUGGACAUCAGCGAAAGAUUCCAGGUAGUUUUUGGAGUAGUUUAAAGAAAUUUAGAAUAGAAUGAUUGAAUCAAUCAAAAGAAAUUUAAAAAUUAUUAUUAUCACAAUACCAAACAUGAUUCAUAGGUUAUCAUAAUUUAAAUUUGUAUUUAUUUCGGUACAGCUAUCAUUAGUUUUCCUUGAUUUUUGAUGGCAUCCCUUUCUGAUGGCAUCUCUAUGGUAUCUAUGCCAUUUGAUCCAAAGUCGUCUGAAAUAUGCAGGACUAGAAACUAGGAAACAAAAUCGAUCCAUUUUCUGCCGUGCUCAUUAAAAUGUCAGAAAUAGACUGUUGUUCUACUAAGUCAACAUUAAACUGUGAAUACUAACAGCUACAGAUGAAAAGAGAGGUCUUCGAGCUAUUGAGAAACUGAAACGGUCUCUGUUCUCCGAUUAUGUGGUCUUUUAACAGCUUGAUGUGAUGAACCCUGCAAACAUUGCAUCUGCAGAUUUUAUGAAGACCAGAUACAGAAAACUUGAUAUUUGGUAUGGCCGAGACUCCAUUUCUACAGAACCAGUUGGUUGGGUUCAUGUAAGUUUAACCAAUCUUUUUGAACAGGAUACAAAUCAUAUAUGCACUCGACCAUUUUUGACAUUUGCAAAUGAAAAACUGGUAUAAUUAAAGGCUGCUUUUGUGUGUAUACCCCAACAUAAAUGUAGGCCAGCCUCUUAGCUCUCAUUUUAGAAAUCAGUAGAAACUGACAGACAUGCCAGUUUCCCCAUCAGCAUUUUCGUUAUUUUUCUCAAGGAAAAAAAAACUAGAAUGAAACUAAAUUCAAUGUAUUGGACAAUUUCCACAAGGCAAGUGCAAUGGACACAAGCCCAUUUUAUUUAUAUUCCCCAAGAAAUUUCUACAAUAUUAGAUACGACAAUUGAUAAAACCAAGCAUCCCCCGUCACAGGGUGAGGGGGGAAAAAAGCAAUGAGAAGAACGUCCAAGGCCAGUACUGAAACGAUUGCUCAGGAUAUGCAACCACCAAUGUAACAGUCAGAUUACAUGCCUGGAUGUGUAUGCUAGGCUAAAUCUGGAAAGAUUGUGGACACUUGCUGCAUCAAUCUAUAAUAUACUCCAAGCUAUUUUGUCAAAUUAUCAGUAUCACGAACAAGCUUCAUCGAGGGAAGCGCAAUUGCAGCCACUGGUUUAUUCUCAAAUCCACCACCUUCAUCAAUAAUCAAUCUAAGACCAUCAAUAUGAAGUUUCCCGUGGUGGCCGCUAACCACAAUGAUCGGUUUCUCAGUUAAUUCCUACGUGAAAUUAAACAUCAAACAUCCACACUUCAGUUAUAUAUAUAUAUAAAAGAACAAUGAUAUAUAUAUAUAUAUAUAUAUAUAUAUAUAUAUAUAAAAGAACAAUGAUAUAUAAUGUCUUGAAUGUGUGAAGCUGUCAACAUCCGAGUCCUUUCCCACUAAAGAAAGCUGGAGAAAUUGGUAGAUUAGGAUAAAAAGUUUCCGAUAAAAGAAAUUAGUAGUAGGUAUCGAGCCACAUGAGUCUCCUUAGCUUUCAAAAAUCUCAGUUGUUCGCCUACAUUUUUCCCUUCCUCUAAACCAGCAUGCGCGGCAAUCAAUUUACAGUGUCUAAUUCCUUCUUCAUCCUCUAUGCACACAUCAUCCU
rnacentral:lncRNA from 1 species